GAAGCUGGCUAGACAGUCGCCGCUCAGCAAUGGGGGGAGGAAAGUCCGGGCUACACAGAGCAGGAUGACGGCUAACGGCCGUACGCUGAAAGCUAGCAAUAGUAUAAGGCGCGGAAUAGGGCCACAGAGACGAGCGUAUUCAGUUACGGUGAAACGCGGUAACCUCCAUCCGUAGCAAGACCAAAUAGGCUGACAAUGGCGUGGCUCGCGCUGUCAGCGGGUAGGUUGCUUGAGCGUGUGAGUAAUUGCACGCCUAGAUGAAUGACUGUCACUUGUCGCAAGGCAAGCACAGAACCCGGCUUAUCGGCCAGCUUCACUU
rfam:Candidatus Methylopumilus turicensis strain MMS-10A-171 genome assembly, chromosome: 1